AUCCAGCUGACGAGUCCCGAAUAAGACGAAACGCGCGUCCUGGAU
rfam:Schistosoma mansoni strain Puerto Rico chromosome 2, complete genome